rnacentral:rRNA from 1 species
GAUCAUUACACAAUAACCAGGCGGGCUGGACACCCCCCGCUGGGCACUGCUUCACGGCGUGCGCGGCGGGGCCGGCCCUGCUGAAUUAUUCACCCGUGUCUUUUGCGUACUUCUUGUUUCCUGGGUGGGCUCGCCCGCCCUCAGGACCAACCACAAACCUUUUGCAAUAGCAAUCAGCGUCAGUAACAACGUAAUUAAUUACAACUUUCAACAACGGAUCUCUUGGUUCUGGCAUCGAUGAAGAACGCAGCGAAAUGCGAUACGUAGUGUGAAUUGCAGAAUUCAGUGAAUCAUCGAAUCUUUGAACGCACAUUGCGCCCUUUGGUAUUCCAAAGGGCAUGCCUGUUCGAGCGUCAUUUGUACCCUCAAGCUUUGCUUGGUGUUGGGCGUCUUUUGUCUCCAGUUCGCUGGAGACUCGCCUUAAAGUCAUUGGCAGCCGGCCUACUGGUUUCGGAGCGCAGCACAAGUCGCGCUCUUGGCCAGCCAAGGUCAGCGUCCAGCAAGCCUUUUUUUCAACCUUGACCUCGGAUCAGGUAGG